rnacentral:rRNA from 1 species
AUUGAACGCUAGCGGGAUGCCUUACACAUGCAAGUCGAACGAGUGGCGGACGGGUGAGUAAUAUAUCGGAACGUGCCCAGUAGGGGGGGAUAACUACUCGAAAGAGUGGCAAAUACCGCAUACUCUUGGAGCGGCCGAUAUCGGCUUAGCUAGUAGGUGGGGUAAAGGCACACCAAGGCAACGAUCCGUAGCUGGUUUGAGAGGAUGACCAGCCACACUGGGACUGAGACACGGCCCAGACUCCUACGGGAGGCAGCAGUGGGGAAUUUUGGACAAUGGGGGAAACCCUGAUGCAGCCAUCCCGCGUGUAUGAGAAGGCCUUCGGGUUGUAAAGUACUUUUGGCAGGGAAGCGGUAUCUGCAGAAUAAGCACCGGCUAACUACGUGCCAGCAGCCGCGGUAAUAC